GCUGGGCGUGGUGGCUCACACCUGUAAUCCCAGUGCUUUGGGAGGCUGAGGUGGGUGGAUCACCUGAGGUCAGGAGUUCGAGACCAGCCUGGCCAACAUGGUGAAACCCCGCCUCUA
rnacentral:SRP_RNA from 1 species